rnacentral:tRNA from 1 species
GGUGGUGUAGCUCAGAUGUACAGUCCUAGUCUAGCACACAUAGGUCUUGGGUUCGAUCCCAGCACCACUA